rnacentral:rRNA from 1 species
GCGGGGCAACCUGGCGGCGAGUGGCGAACGGGUGAGUAAUAUAUCGGAACGUACCCAAGAGUGGGGGAUAACGUAGCGAAAGUUACGCUAAUACCGCAUACGAUCUAAGGAUGAAAGCAGGGGAUCUUCGGACCUUGUGCUCCUGGAGCGGCCGAUAUCUGAUUAGCUAGUUGGUGAGGUAAAGGCUCACCAAGGCCACGAUCAGUAGCUGGUCUGAGAGGACGACCAGCCACACUGGAACUGAGACACGGUCCAGACUCCUACGGGAGGCAGCAGUGGGGAAUUUUGGACAAUGGGCGAAAGCCUGAUCCAGCAAUGCCGCGUGAGUGAAGAAGGCCUUCGGGUUGUAAAGCUCUUUUGUCAGGGAAGAAACGGUGAGGGCUAAUAUCCUUUACUAAUGACGGUACCUGAAGAAUAAGCACCGGCUAACUACGUGCCAGCAGCCGCGGUAAUACGUAGGGUGCAAGCGUUAAUCGGAAUUACUGGGCGUAAAGCGUGCGCAGGCGGUUUUGUAAGUCUGACGUGAAAUCCCCGGGCUCAACCUGGGAAUUGCGUUGGAGACUGCAAGGCUAGAAUCUGGCAGAGGGGGGUAGAAUUCCACGUGUAGCAGUGAAAUGCGUAGAGAUGUGGAGGAACACCGAUGGCGAAG